GGGGAGGAAUGUCUUUGCCUGCAACAUGCAGGUUUGGAAACUCUCUGAGAUGGGAACUGGCUUGCAGCAUGCUUUGAGGUGACAGAUUUGUUGACAUGAGAAUCAAAGUUUUUAGGACUUGCUGGAAUUCACCUUAUUGUGGGAGCUAAUAUAGUUGUAUUGACUUGCAUGUGGCCAAAGAAUCUCUUUGAGGGAGCCAUGGAGUCCCCAUUUCCUGAGGCAUUGAUGAGCAGUUUGGAUGGAGAAUGGCCAGGAGCAAAUCUGCUGUUGGAGGAAGUACCCUGAACAAGUUCAUUUGGGGCCAAAAACCUGAAGGAGCUGCUUGGGGAGCUGCAAGGCUGGCGGGGUUCCUGCAGACUUUGUGAGCCAUGCCCAGGACAGACUAUUCUGUUAGUCUCUUUUUAAAUAAAUGAUUAGAGCUGGCUGAGACGAUCUGCAAGCAAGAUUCUGCAGUCUCACAGGCUCCAAGAGACUGUGCACUUGGACUGUGAUUUGUUCCUCUGUAUUUACUCUUCCCAAAUUAAUUUUAUUUGUAUUGGGGAUUCACCCAGAAGUCUUAAUUAGGAUGAAAAUUAUUGUGUGAAGACAAAUCCAACCACAAACACCAAAUAGUCAGUUGACAAGUGAGCUUUAGCAUCUAAUUUCUCAUGCUUUAAGGAUGACUGAGGGUGGGGGUUUUGAUGGAGAGCUCGUGCAUGGUGAUGUCCAACAGCCAUGAGGAAACCUCAGCUUGGUUUCCUCAGACCACCAGGAAGAGAAACAUCCCAAGCUGCUGACUUUAAUGCCAUGGUGUCUCUUCUGGAAAAGAUUGGAAGAUAAUUUUGUUGUUGCAGGUUCUUAGGUGGCUCUUGUACAUACAAAGAUGUCUUUUUUCAUGCCAGCAAUGGCAAUCCAUAGACAAACAUGAGUAUUUUCUGCUUAUCACAUUCUGGCUGGAAUUCUGCUGACCAGGUACCCACCAAACAAAGGAAGAUUGAAGCUGUGUGUCACAUGGAACCCUAGGAGGAGGUUACAACUAUUCCUCAACUUGUAGUGAGCUGCAAAAGUUUGCACCAAAUCAGCUGAGAACUGUAAAAUAAGAGCUGAGGAGCAGGGGAGAUGUCCACAGGUUACAAGGCCACAUUUGGGUUUAUCCCUUCCCAGUUAUUCAAGCUGCUCCAUAGAUGGCUACAAAUUCUUCCCUUUCAUAGAAAUUAUGUGGAAAGGAUGUUUCCUGACAAAGCUGGACUUGCUGCAGAAUUCAAACCUGUGACAUUUCAUAGGACACUGCAAAACCCAGCCAAAAUAAACCUGGGCUUAGGGGGUGUGUAAGUAGCACAGCAAUGCACAGCAUGUCAUACAGAUGGUCUUAGGCAAAUAAAGGGGGGAUCUGUGGGGGCACAGCAGUGCUGCCUUGUUGUGGGGUUCUGUUUCCUUUAUUUUGCUAUUGUGCCACCAUGAAUGGGUCCUUGGUGUAUUCUGUUUCAGGGCUGUUCAUUUUUUUUCCCUCCCAAUUGGAAGCAAUAGCCCUGGGAAUCUUUUGCUCUGUUUUAGAAGAGAAACUGUGGCAAAAAAAUGGGUCUGUAACUCAAAUGCUUUACUUGGAGCUGGCUGGGGAAAUAACAUGCUCAGUCUGGUGAAGCAGUGUAGGUUUUGUGAGCUGUCUAGA